AGCAGCCGCGGUAAUUCCAGCUCCAAUAGCGUAUAUUAAAGUUGUUGCAGUUAAAAAGCUCGUAGUUGAAUUUCGGGAUCAGUUGGUCGGUCGUGCCUCGGUACGUACUGGUCAAAUUGAUUCCUACCUUCUGACGAACCACGAUGUCAUUAAUUUGGUGUCGCGGGAAAUCAGGACUGUUACUUUGAAAAAUUAGAGUGUUUAAAGCAGGCUCGCGCUUGAAUACAUUAGCAUGGAAUAAUGAAAUAGGACGUUUGAUUCUAUUUUGUUGGUUUCUAGGAUCGACGUAAUGAUUAAUAGGGAUAGUUGGGGGCAUUAGUAUUCAAUUGUCAGAGGUGAAAUUCUUGGAUUUAUUGAAGACUAACUACUGCGAAAGCAUUUGCCAAGGAUGUUUUCAUUAAUCAAGAACGAAAGUUAGGGGAUCGAAGACGAUCAGAUACCGUCGUAGUCUUAACCAUAAACUAUGCCGACUAGGGAUCGGAUGAUGUUAAUUUUUUAAUGUACUCAUUCGGCGCCUUAA
rnacentral:misc_RNA from 1 species